CAUUAAGUGGCUGAAAAGCAAGUCCUUAAAAGCAGAUCUCUUAAAUCAUAAUAUAAUAUAUUAGCAAAUAUUCUUAAUGA
rnacentral:tRNA from 1 species